rnacentral:lncRNA from 13 species
AUGUGUCACGGUAUUGUCAUAUUCACGUGUGUAUGUAUGUUCCUACGUACAGUAGUGUUGUCACGAUACCAGAAGUUUGACUUUGAUACCAAUACCAGGUUCAUCAAAAUACUCGAUACCAAAACAAUAUUCAAUACCAAAACGAUAGUCGAUACCAAAAUGGUAGUCAAUACCAAAACGAUAGUCAAUACCAAAACGAUAGUCGAUACCAAAACGAUAGUCAAUACCAAAACGAUAGUCGAUACCAAAAUGAUAGUCGAUACCAAAACGAUAGUCGAUACCAAAACGAUAGUCAACACCAAAACGAUACUCGAUACCAAAUCAAUAUUCAAUACCAAAACGAUAUUCAAUAACAAAGCGAUACUCGAUACCAAAACGAUAGUCGAUACCAAAUCAAUAUUCAAUACCAAAACGAUAUUCAAUAACAAAGCGAUACUCGAUACCAAAACGAUAGUCGAUACCAAAACGAUAGUCGAUACCAAAGCGAUACUCGAUACUCAAACCGAUACUCGAUACCAAAACGAUACUCGAUACCAAAACGAUACUCGAUACCAAAGCGAUACUCGAUACCAAAGCGAUACUCGAUACCAAAACAAUACUCGAUACCAAAAUGUUACCCUGAUACUGAAACGAUACCACAGAAGAAGACAAAAAGAAAACUAUUAGCUAAGGCCAUAGAAAACCAAUGGGCUGUACUUUCUUCAACAUUGAACAAUAUGUGAAUAACUGGUAGAACAACUCAAAUAACAAAUAGAAUAUAUUCUAUUCUAUAUUCAAUCGUUUAAAAAAAAUACAACACCAUAUUAAAUAACAUAUUCAAUUCCUUAUGCAAAACCAUGAGCCUCAUGUAAUUAUACAUCUGAAAUGUUUUAAAAUUGGAUUUUUAUACAUAUCAGGGUUAAUUAAUUUGCCAUAAUAUUGGGUAAAAUAUCAUUCAUUAGAGCUAUGAUUCACUACAGCUAAAUAAUUUAAUGUAUUGAAUUAGUCGUUUAAUUCCAAAACGACAUAAAAAACAGGGAAGCUCAUUUCUGAAGCAUGCACACCAUACUGUAGAAAUACAAUGGAUUUUACACAGCAUACUACAAUUCCCAGAGUGCAUUUCAACUCCCAGUGUGCAAUGCUCCGCCCAGGGCUGCUGCUGGCUAGUGGCUAGUGGCUACUACUAGCAAGCCCAGACAAACACAAAGUAGUCUAAAUGUAUUGCUGUCAUAGCUAAAUUGUGAGUGCAUUUCAUAUUUCUUUUGGGUUGUAAUCAUAUUAUAAUGCUCACAUGAAUGUCAUGCUGAAUAUAUGUUCAUGUCAUUGCCACUCAAAAAUAAUUUGAAUUUAGUUGCUAGUAGAAUAACGUUACAAUUUAAAAUGGCAUUUGUAAAAUCAUUUUUUAUGUGCUAGCUUACUACUGCCCCUUGAUAAGACAACUGCCCCCUUGAGAAGACAAGUACCCUUGCUAGUUUACAACUGCCCCUUGAGAAGACAAGUACCCUUGCUAGCUUUCUACUGCCCCUUGAGAAGACAAGUACCCUUGCUAGCUUUCUACUGCCCCUUGAGAAGACAAGUACCCUGGCUAGCUUACUACUGUCCCUUGAGAAGACAAGUACCCUGGCUAGCUUGAGACAAGUACCAUUGCUAGCUUACUACUGCCCCUUGAUAAGACAAGUAGCCUGGCUAGCUUACUACUGCCCCCUGAGAAGACAAGCACCCUGGCUAGCUUACUACUGCCCCCUGAGAAGACAAG